CGACCGGCGGACGGGUGCGUAACGCGUAUGCAACCUGCCUGACACAGGGGGAUAAUCCGAAGAAAUUUGGUCUAAUACCCCAUAAUACCGAUAUAGGCAUCUAUGUUGGUUGAAAGCUUUGGUGGUGUCAGAUGGGCAUGCGUUGUAUUAGCUAGUUGGUGAGGUAACGGCUCACCAAGGCGACGAUACGUAGGGGGACUGAGAGGUUAACCCCCCACACUGGUACUGAGACACGGACCAGACUCCUACGGGAGGCAGCAUG
rnacentral:rRNA from 1 species